rnacentral:rRNA from 1 species
AUGGCUCAGAUUGAACGCUGGCGGCAGGCUUAACACAUGCAAGUCGAACGGUAGCGGGAAGAAAGCUUGCUUUCUUUGCCGACGAGUGGCGG